rnacentral:rRNA from 1 species
UGGGGAAUUUUGGACAAUGGGCGAAAGCCUGACCCAGCAAUGCCGCGUGUGUGAAGAAGGCCUUCGGGUUGUAAAGCACUUUUGUCCGGAAAGAAAUCCUUGGCUCUAAUACAGUCGGGGGAUGACGGUACCGGAAGAAUAAGCACCGGCUAACUACGUGCCAGCAGCCGCGGUAAUACGUAGGGUGCAAGCGUUAAUCGGAAUUACUGGGCGUAAAGCGUGCGCAGGCGGUUUGCUAAGACCGAUGUGAAAUCCCCGGGCUCAACCUGGGAACUGCAUUGGUGACUGGCAGGCUAGAGUAUGGCAGAGGGGGGUAGAAUUCCACGUGUAGCAGUGAAAUGCGUAGAGAUGUGGAGGAAUACCGAUGGCGAAGGCAGCCCCCUGGGCAAUACUGACGCUCAUGCACGAAAGCGUGGGGAGCAAACAGGAUUAGAUACCCUGGUAGUCCACGCCCUAAACGAUGUCAACUAGUUGUUGGGGAUUCAUUUCCUUAGUAACGUAGCUAACGCGUGAAGUUGACCGCCUGGGGAGUACGGUCGCAAGAUUAAAACUCAAAGGAAUUGACGGGGUC